UACGUAGGGAGCAAGCGUUGUCCGGAAUCAUUGGGCGUAAAGAGCGCGUAGGCGGCCGUGUAAGUCCGCUCUGAAACCUCGAGGCUCAACCUCGAGCCUGCAUUCGAUACUGGGCGGCUAGAGUCUGGUAGGGGGAUCUGGAAUUCCUGGUGUAGCGGUGGAAUGCGCAGAGUAUCAGGAGGAACACCGGUGGCGAAGGCGGGAUCCUGGGCCAGUACUGACGCUGAGGAGCGAAAGCGUGGGGAGCGAACAGG
rnacentral:rRNA from 1 species